UCUAAUCUGACAUCCCUGUAUAUCACAGGCCAUAGACGUUCACCCAGUUACCGCUGCGUUGAGCCCAAUGACAAAUUUUCCAGAAAGGUAGCCGGUCUUGAUCUGAAGACAUCAAAAGAUGAAGAAUCCACCACUUCCCUUGAUUUCACACAAGCAGAUCACAAUGGAUAUUUGGUAUUCAACCUGCGUUGCUUGCUCUGAUGGGACUCACAGCUCAUAUGUUUCCUUCAGGGUGACGCAAGACCUGAUUUAAACCUUGGCUCUACGCACACACCACAUUGCUCCUUUGGGUACACUUCUAUUUGCAGUUCAUCAGUUACAGAAAAGAAGAUGGGAUAAAAUCGGAGAGAGGCUGAAUGCAUUGACUCCUACUGACUUCAUUAGAUGUUUAGGGGCAAAACCCUUUGUAGGAGGAUCAUGCUCUAAUCUAAGUGUGCCAGUUGCCAAAGGGUCCGUUCAAAUGAAGAAUCCGAUGAUUCUUUCCAAGUAUAUCCCGCGACAGCGAUGGCAUCAUUUGCCUUAAAUGGGAGGUGGUGUAUCCUGUCCUCUGACAUACAUUUUCAAGUCUAUACCCCAACUGUCCGUUGAUCACUAAUGGUUUUCUGUAACAACC